UCACUACACCCAGGAGCAGCCACUUCCCCAGCUCUCCUCCUCCUUCGCCUCCUCCUCCUCCACUCCCCCCCCUUUAUUACCCUUUGUGUCAUCCUCCACAGCUCCAGGGAAGGCACUCAAAAGUGGGGGGCAGGAAAGAUGUUGAACCAGCCUUGCAGCCCAGGAAUAAAUCCCACUUGGUCAUGGUGAAUUAUCCUUUUAAUGUACUAUUGGAUCCUAUUGGCUAGCAUUUUGGUGAGAAUUUUCGCAUCUGUGUUCAUCAAGAUGCUUUUUGAGGAAAUCAGUUUCUGCAUGUGGGAAGUAGAUAUUGAAGGUUAUAUGGUUUACAGACAAGAUCUUUAAAAUAUAGAUACUCAAGGACCAAGGAAAUAAAUACCAGAAGCCAAGAGCACAGAAUAUUUUCUGUCAUCAAUCCACAGAACCUUGAUACUUCUUUAAUUCCAUCACACACAAAGGAAUGACCACCUUGGCAGAUGGCCACAGAGGAUGUCAACAAUUUCUUGGAG